rnacentral:lncRNA from 1 species
AAUAUUUAUUAUUAUGUCUCUUUGGAUGAAUGAAUGCUUAGUAUCAUUUUUUGUUGGAUGGAUGAAUGUGGUAUCAUGCUCUAUUUUCUUGAUACUUGACUUAACACCAUGAACAUCCUACUCUUCUAGUUUAUUCUUUUUUUGAUGAUGUCAAAAAGGAAGAGAAAUAAUGAAACAUUAAAAAAUAUGUAAUAAUGAUAAAGGGGGAGA